ensembl:misc_RNA Metazoa_SRP Metazoan signal recognition particle RNA
GCCGGGUGUGGUGGCUCACGCCUGUAAUCCCGGCACUUUGGGAGGCUGAGGCGGGUGGAUCACCUGAGGUCAGGACUUCGAGACCAGCCUGGCCAACAUGGUGAAACCCCAUCUCUA